rnacentral:rRNA from 1 species
GACGGAAGGUGCAAGCGUUGCUCGGAAUCACUGGGCGUAAAGCGCACGUAGGCGGAUUGUUAAGUCAGGGGUGAAAUCCUGGAGCUCAACUCCAGAACUGCCUUUGAUACUGGCGAUCUUGAGUCCGGGAGAGGUGAGUGGAACUGCGAGUGUAGAGGUGAAAUUCGUAGAUAUUCGCAAGAACACCAGUGGCGAAGGCGGCUCACUGGCCCGGUACUGACGCUGAGGUGCGAAAGCGUGGGGAGCAAACAGG